rnacentral:lncRNA from 1 species
UAGUUAAAAUGGACGGCAACAACAACCAUUUCUUGCUAUAAAAGAGACAGUUCUGGACCACAAUAGGGGAAGGGGGAGGACGGCAAGAAAAAGAAGGGACAAUAGUUUCACCCCAAUCCCAUUACAUCCACAAUAUACAAAAGAAAAGGGAUAAAAAUAAACAAAAUAAUACAAAGUGCUUCCAAUAGAAACUUCGAGAAUCCAUCGUCAAAGCUUCCAAAUUCUCAAACACUUGGAGCAAGCAACCAGGAAAUCUUGUACAAACUAUCAAGGAAGAAGAGAAAAAAAUCAAUUUUCUUCUUUUAAAAGAAGAUCCGUAUUUCCAAACGAAGCUCUUCCUAAUUCUCAAUCAUUCACAUACCAUUCAUAUCCUGUUUCAAUACGUGUCAAUAUGUCUGCUAUGCUUGUAAUGCUAUAGUGUCUAUUUUACUACCAUUUACGUCGCUUCUAAUCUAAUAUUCACAACAACUAUCAACUAAAUAACCUACUUAAGUAAAUGAUGAACUAACAAAGUCACAAGUAAAAAAUGAAGCUUCUUCGCUAAUGAAAGGUUGCUGAAAAUAUAUUGACAAUGGCCUAAAACAUACCAAAUCUCCCUCAUUAAACAAAAUUAGCAGCAAGGAUUCAAAAAUAACAUAAAGACUUUGAAUAUGACAUCAACAUCAAGCAAAACUAUGAGUUCUUUGUUAAAAUAUUGCUGGAAUUUUAUUAAAAAUGUCAAAUAAUCAAGGUUUUCAAAUGAAUAAACCGCUUCCAUUAUGUCAAAGUUGCUAGAUUUACUCUGUAAUUGAAAUAAACUACUAUUCUUUCAUUUUAUAACAUUUCGACAAUACAAAAAAGGGGUGUAAAAGCCUUUGUUUUUUUGCAUUCGUUGGCUUAAAAAAUCGAAAUAAUUUUCAAUUCUGAGUUUACCUUCUCGAGUUCCGUUUUCUCCUCCUCGUUCCUAGGCCUUCUUUCCCGAGCAAGGCAGAGGCUAAUUUCAUUACCUGAAAUAAACCUAAAAAAUUAGUCUCUUUCCUUUCUUUUUUUGAAGUAAUUAACUAAGAAAAUAAACAGAGUUUUUACCUUACUCCCCUUCCCUUCGUUUGUCUCUUCUCCAGUCGCUGGUCGUCAUCGACGAUGAAGUCCCAUCCUCUUUUCCCUCAACCGAUUCCAAACCCAAAAAAAUAGACAAAACAAGACAAUAAAAAAUAAGAAAAAGUAAGAGUCAAAAAGAGGAAUAAGCAUCUAUCAAACCAUACAUUUGUAUAUUGGGGUUGCAUGUUGUUGGAGGACUCAACGGAGGCAUCCUCCGAUGACAUGCAGACCCGAAUCCGGUUAAAGUCAAAGUAAUAGAGGGGUAGUGAGGCGGAUCCGAUUGUUUUAUCUUUGUUUUCUCUUAUUCGUCGUUGUUGCCAAGAAGACCGGGGAAGGUCGAGGUCACGUCCCGUUGUUACCGUUGUGACCGGAGAAGCAGAACACAGAGGAGGGUGAGAGGGAAGCAGAGAGGGGAAGAGAAGAGAAAAGAGAGGAAGAAGAUGAAAAAGAGGGAGAAAAAAAGAGAGAGAAAAGAGAGGAAGA